UAUCUCUGUAGAGUCUGCAUAUCAAUAAGCGGAGGAAAAGAAACUAACUAGGAUUCCCUCAGUAACGGCGAGUGAAGCGGGAAGAGCUCAAAUUUGAAAUCUUCAAGGUUCUACCUUGACGAAUUGUAGUUUAAAGAAGUGUUUUCUGUUGGAGUUUUGGUAAAAGUUCUUUGGAAUAGGACAUCAUAGAGGGUGAGAAUCCCGUAUUUGACCAUUACUUUCCAGCGUUGUGAUACACUUUCAAAGAGUCGGAUUGUUUGGGAAUGCAGUCCAAAAUGGGUGGUAAAUUUCAUCUAAAGCUAAAUAUUGGCGAGAGACCGAUAGCGAACAAGUACCGUGAGGGAAAGAUGAAAAGAACUUUGAAAAGAGAGUUAAACAGUACGUGAAAUUGUCAAAAGGGAAGCGUUUGACACCAGUGUUGUUUUCUACGAAAAUCAAUUAAAUGAUGGCUUGAUGCUAAGCUUUAAGACUUUAUCCGCUUGUUGUUUAGUUUUCUUGUCUUUGUGAAUGCACUUUUCGUGGAACAAGUCAACAUCAAUUUCUUUUGCUGUAAAAGGGUAAGAGGAAGGUGGCUUCGGCUUCGGUUGAAGUGUUUAUAGCCUUUUAUCUCUGCAGUCGGAGAGAUUGAGGUCUGCAGCGUAGACUCUUCGGGGUUAGAUACGUCGGUGCUAAGCUAUAGCUUUUCAUAGACAACUUGUUGACUAUGUUUAGUCAUGUGGCUUACCCGCUGGCGCUAUUUUACCUACGCUUAGGAUGUUGAGUCAUCACACAUCUCU
rnacentral:rRNA from 1 species